UAAUACGGAGGGUCCAAGCGUUAUCCGGAAUCAUUGGGUUUAAAGGGUCCGUAGGCGGGCUAUUAAGUCAGAGGUGAAAGUUUGCAGCUCAACUGUAAAAUUGCCUUUGAAACUGGUAGUCUUGAAUUAUUAUGAAGUGGUUAGAAUAAGUAGUGUAGCGGUGAAAUGCAUAGAUAUUACUUAGAAUACCGAUUGCGAAGGCAGAUCACUAAUAAUAUAUUGACGCUGAGGGACGAAAGCGUGGGGAGCGAACAGGAUUAGAUACCCUGGUAGUCCACGCCGUAAACGAUGGAUACUAGCUGUUCGGAUUUAUCUGAGUGGCUAAGCGAAAGUGAUAAGUAUCCCACCUGGGGAGUACGUUCGCAAGAAUG
rnacentral:rRNA from 1 species